rnacentral:ncRNA from 2 species
CGUCCACGUUGGGGGUGCCGGACUGUUGUCUGGGUGCGGCUGAGAGAGUCCCUUCGAACCUGUACGGGUCAUGCCGUCGUAGGGAAGCGGAAGGCGUCUGCU